AUUGAACGCUGGCGGCAGGCCUAACACAUGCAAGUCGAACGAGUGGCGGACGGGUGAGCAAUGUCUGGUAAACUGCCUGAUGGAGGGGGAUAACUACUGGAAACGGUAGCUAAUACCGCAUACCAUCAGAUGUGCCCAGAUGGGAUUAGCUAGUUGGUGGGGUAACGGCUCACCAAGGCGACGAUCCCUAGCUGGUCUGAGAGGAUGACCAGCGACACUUGAACUGAGACACGGUCCAGAGUCCUACGGGAGGCAGAAGUGGGGAAUAUUGAACGAUGGGAGCAAGCCUGAUGCAGCCAUGCCGCGUGUAUGAAGAAGGCCUUCGGGUUGUAAAGUACUUUCAGCGGGGAAGCAUUACCCGCAGAAGAAGCACCGGCUAACUCCGUGCCAGCAGCCGCGGUAAUUC
rnacentral:rRNA from 1 species